GCACCGCCGUGUGCCAGCGCUGCCCAGAGCUCCGGGACAGCGCCCUGUGCUUGUUCCGCCUGAGCAGAGCUUCUCCUAACGUACUCUUGGAGAGCAGGGAAUGAGCUUAAGGAUGGCUAAUCCAGGCUGAAUCCUACAGUGAAAACAAGUCCUUUACCUCAAGUAUCACUGAAGUCUUUCCUCCCCUCCCAAACCCCCGGCUUCCCCAUCAUUCAGCAGCAGACGAUAUUCUCCUGGCGCAGACUAGAGCGGGGAAUAUUAAUUGUGCUGUAAUGACAACUCUCCUCUCAGAACCUGGCCUUCUGUUCAGUGUAAAUGAAGGGCAAUCUGUGGCCUAUCAACAGACUGUUUCCUUUGGGAAAACAGCCUCACACUUCUCAGAUUUCCCUUUACACUACUGUCUGUUGGUAUCUUUUCCUACCUCAAGAUCUGCUACAUUGCUGUAAAAGGUUUUUUUUCUCUUUAAUUAAUUUCUUUCAGCUCUGUCAGGAUAGAGGGUAAUUAAAUGCUUCAGUAUCUUGUCAUAAAAAUGCCACUUUUCAGAGGAAUUGUCUUAAUGAGCCUGUUUUUCAGUAUAGCAGAGGCUCAUCUAUUAGUCCAGUGUAUAUUUUUAGAGCAUGGCAUUAGCCAGAAAAGCCCAUUAGAUCGUUAUACAAGUGGCUGAAUCAGCAAACUGUAUCUUCUGCUAUUCUGUCAAAGCAAUAACGUUAACAUUAUCAAAGUGAUUAAAAGCCAUUCAUUCAUUUUGCAUCUGGGUUGACAAGUUCAUUCCUGCACAGGCAUUCAGUGCAAAGCUGUGAGAAAGGAAAACUAAAAGCUCAUCAUCUCCCUCAACCUGAAGAUCUACCAGUGUGUGACAGAUGCAAUCAAAAUAUGACAAUUGAGUGGAACACCGGAUGCCUGUGCUCUGUCACAUCAUGGAUUAUCACUGGCAAAGCAAAAUCAGCCUUACCCUAGGACCUUUUAUAAGGAUUUGCAUCUUUCUGCAGCCAAAGAAGCUGUGUGUGCUGGAAGACACAGAAAGCCUUGUCCUUCAGCUCUGGGUCAUCUUCCUGGAGCUUCAGAUCAACGGUGGUGCUGCUGGCCUUUCCUUUGGGGUUGUUGCAGGUGUGUUUGGCCAGUGGCUUUCCUGGAUCUCCUGCUCGGGAGCCAUGAGGGCUGGGUACCCCAGUAUCAGUUCUUGGCCUUGGCAAGGCUGUUUGUCCAAUGUUUAUACAGAGAGCAGAAGCAGUGGGAGGGAUAAACAAGUGUUGGCUUCACUGUCAUAACCUUUCUGAAAAACUGAGUAGACAGAAAGCUUUGAUUCUUGGGGCUGCCUGGGGAAGCUGCUCAAUAAACUUGCUUACAACAAGUGCAGCAUAUCCAAAUCUUUCCCAUGGACAGGACACGAUCCAGUGGUAAAGGGCAUGGGAGCUGCAAGAGCAGUCCCUGAGGCUGAGGCUGGUCUAACCUAAGAUUGAGAGAUUUGCAUGUAGGGGCCUCUGGUUUCUGCUAACAGAUAUAAAGCAGCUUUGAGUCCUGUAAGUCAAAUGGUGCAUCAAGGAAGGAAAAGACAGAGGAGAAGAAGGGCAAGCUGUUACUUGGUAAAAAUCCACCACCUGAUUCCAUCAGUGAACCCACCUACUCAGCUCUGGACAGUACCUGAAAGUGUUGAAUUGCAUUAAAAAGCAAACCAAUGAGUUAUCACACUGGGGGUCUGUUGGAUCAUUGCAGCCAGCCUUCUGCUGUCACAGGUGCAACUGUAUUCAGUCUCUUUCCCAAACCUGACAAGUUCUGUCUUAAAACUGGUAACAAUUACUCCCACUGGAAUUCUGUUAUGAAACCUGCACAUCUCACACUUAUAAAGAGGAGAUGCUGUUUAGCUCUUCAAGUCUUUUCACUGUUGCUGUGCUGCUGGCAAGGGCACUUUGACCAUGUGGGACUGGUAACAAGCUGGAGCUGUGCCCUCAGCUUGCCUCAGCUACAGAUUGCAUGGCUGCCAUGGCUGUAGUCUCCUCAGUUGUGUGCCCUUUCUCUUGGUAAAGAACAACACAUCUGGGUUUUCUGUCUCAAUAAACUGACAUGCUCUCACAGGAGGAGUAUAGCCCUUCACCAA